AACGAACGCUGGCGGCAUGCCUAACACAUGCAAGUCGAACGAGACCUUCGGGUCUAGUGGCGCACGGGUGCGUAACGCGUGGGAACCUGCCCUUAGGUUCGGAAUAACUCCCCGAAAGGGGUGCUAAUACCGGAUAAUGUCUUCGGACCAAAGAUUUAUCGCCUUUGGAUGGGCCCGCGUUGGAUUAGCUAGUUGGUAGGGUAAAAGCCUACCAAGGCGACGAUCCAUAGCUGGUUUGAGAGGAUGAUCAGCCACACUGGGACUGAGACACGGCCCAGACUCCUACGGAACGCAGCAGAGAAGAAUAUUGGACAAUGGACGAAAGCCUGAACCAGCAAUGCCCCGUGAGUUAUGAAGGCCUUAGGGUUGUAAAUCUCUUUUACCCGUGAUUAUAAUGACAGUACCGAGAGAAUAAGCUCCGGCUAACUCCGUG
rnacentral:rRNA from 1 species